CAGCAGCCGCGGGAAUACGGAGGAUCCAAGCGUUAUCCGGAAUCAUUGGGUUUAAAGGGUCCGUAUGCGGUCUUGUAAGUCAGUGGUGAAAGCCCAUCGCUCAACGGUGGAACGGCCAUUGAUACUGCAGGACUUGAAUUAUUGGGAAGUAACUAGAAUAUGUAGUGUAGCGGUGAAAUGCUUAGAGAUUACAUGGAAUACCAAUUGCGAAGGCAGGUUACUACCAAUUGAUUGACGCUGAUGGACGAAAGCGUGGGUAGCGAACAGGAUUAGAUACCCCCGUAGUCCCUGUCUCUUAUAC
rnacentral:rRNA from 1 species